rnacentral:rRNA from 1 species
CUGAUGCCUGUAGAUGCAGGCUGUUUAUCUGUUUAAAUUGAAGGUGAAGAAAGGGCAAGGCAAGACCGGUGCCCGCCGCCGCGGUAAUACCGGCUGCUCGAGUGAUGGCCACUAUUACUGGGUUUAAGGCGUCCGUAGCUUGACUGAUAGUCUCUUGGGAAAUUUUAACGCUUAACGUUAAGGAGUCUAAGAGAUACCGUCAGUCUUGGAACUGGGAGAGGUAAACCGUACUUCCCGGGUAGGAGUGAAAUCUUGUAAUCCUCGAGGGACGACCUAUGGCGAAGGCAGUUUACCUGAACAGCUUCGACAGUGAGGGACGAAAGCUGGGGGAGCAAACGGGAUUAGAUACCCCGGUAGUCCCAGCCGUAAACAAUGUGCGUUAGGUGUAUCGGUGACCACGCGUUACUGAUGCGCCGCAGAGAAAUCGUGAAACGCACCACCUGGGAAGUACGGUCGCAAGGCUGAAACUUAAAGGAAUUGGCGGGGGAGCACCACAACAGGUGGAGCCUGCGGUUU